rnacentral:lncRNA from 1 species
GCAGUGGGUGUGGAGCAGCGUGGGGGUGGCAUGGCCCCCAGGGUGGGUUUUCGCUCCGCUGCCUGGGCUUCCAGAUUGCCGUUCUGACAGCCCACCGGCCGGGUUUCUCGGACCGUUGACUUUAUUUGGGGGAGUUUUCCCUCAGGUCAGUUCCUGACUCUGCAGGGCCAACAGGGCAGGGGAGGGGAAGACCCGGGGAAGGGAGAAUGAGGACAGUCCCGUUGUAAGACCUGUCACAUUAAGCAGGGAGGGGACACAGCUGGUUGCCUCGGAGGCAGAGGCUGUGAGUUUCAGAACAGCUGUCUGCAGGGAACGCCACCAUGUGGACUCCCUGGAGGAGAGCGCUGUGGAGCCCCUCCCGGGUUCCGGCUCCGUCUGCCCUGCGCCUAGAUACACACACGCAUCUAUCCAUACUGUAGCUUUCAUCUGUGAUUCUCUCGCUGAAGCCAUGUUUCUCAGAUAGGCCAAGGCCACCUGACUCCUAUCACGACGCCCCCAAGCCCCUCAGUCCAGCUUCCCAACGCCUGGCACCCCCUUUGGCAAUAGCUCACCGUUUACACCCUCCCUCAUAGAUACACAGAAGUUAUUUUUUUAAUGGAUAUUUAUUUUUUUACAUUAGUCAGUACGCAGGUCAGGAGCUCACGCCAGGGCCUUGAGGACAGGCUGACUCUCCUCCCCGGGGUGGUGUGGGACUGGGGGUCACUCUGACAGCAAAGCCUCCUUCAGAAAGUGCAGCUCGAGUCUUAAAGCCACCAAAACUGAGCCGUUGGCACGCUGUCUCCAGGCCUUGGCAGGGUGGGGGCGGCACUGCUCCCCUGUCACUGUGCAUCCCGUCUCCCUGGGGACUUGCCAGUGGGAGGAAGGAAUGGGGGGCCCCAGCCCCAGGCCGGGAAGUAGCCAGCGGCUGACAAAGCAGAAACACCCGCUGCUCCAUGUAGCCCCCGCUCACUGUCCUUGCUCUCAGAAGUCCCUGUCCCAUGUGGAUCAAGGGGGGCGUGUCUUACCAAAGCAUUUCCUCCUGGAGGGGCCCGACAGGCUACCACGCUGUGCUCCCAGUCAGGUGGCUGGUGGGGAGCUUUGCCCACCCCAGGGAUACCCUCUGCCAGCCGCUGGAAGUGGGAGUGCUGGCGACAGACUCCUCUUCCCCACCUUCAUGGCAGGAAUCACCUGGACUCCAGUGGCCAGGCUUCGUGCCAGCGAGUGUUCCGGGGGUGGGUCUUGGUGGUCUUGUCCUGUGCGGAGUAUGCAGUGGUCUCAGCCACAUCCUACGUAUUUUGGGCCUGGGGGAGCAAAGCUGUAUCCUGGAGCUGGUCUGUAAUUUGCUGACAGCUUCACAGGCUGGGCUCAGGGACAAAGUCACCCCCCAAAACCGGCAGGUCCUGGUGUCCAGACACUGCCCAGCCCUGUCCUGAACACAGCACGCCCCAGGUCCACAGAACCCCCCGCCCUACAUUUGCCUUGGGUGGAGGCUGAGGGUGGUCCUAGGACUGCAGGUGCCCUUAGCUGAAGGGAGUGGGGAGAGGUGUGGACUGUGCAGCCUGUGGGUGAUUGGAGGUUCAUUGAGAAUUGAGUCUUUGGAAACACUAAGAAAAUCAAAGUUUUAAAAGUUAUUUAUGGCCUGGGAAACAAUUUGCAUUUGUCCCCAAAUACGCUUAGCUGUGUGCCGCUUAGAACGAUGCGAAACCAUCCCUCUGUGUAAGCCCAUGCUGUGACUCCAAGCCUAGCGCCCUCCCUGCGAAGCAUCAGACGCCGCCCAGCCCUGGGGGGAGGCCCACGGCUGCUGGACCAACGCGGGUUCUGGGGUGCACAGCCCAAGGUUAACGCGGAAGCCUGCCCCGCUGAGCCCAGGAGCCAGGAGGCCUGCGGGCUGACCCAGAAUCCGAUCAUGCACCUGCCCUCAUGCCAGCGGCUUUGGCUGGGGUUGGUCUGAGGCCUGCACGCGGCAGUUUCUUGUUAAAGAUCCAAGGGACUCAGUCCUGGGGCGUCGCCGCCUGCAGCGUCUUCCAAGCCCUGCGUCCAGCGAGCGUCACAGCACAACCUGCAAACGGAGCUGGGCUGUAGCCUUGGGGCUGGCAUGGACUUUCAUUUCCGAGAUUCGGUUUUUAAGAAGAUGCAUGCCAAAUGUGGUGUUCUUUUUUUUUUUUUUUUUUUUUUUUCCAAUGAUUUGUAAUAUACAUUUUAUGACUGGAAACUUUUGUACAACACUCCAAUAAACAUUUUGAUU